AUUGAACGCUGGCGGCAUGCCUUACACAUGCAAGUCGAACGGCAGCACGGGAGCAAUCCUGGUGGCGAGUGGCGAACGGGUGAGUAAAGUAUCGGAACGUGCCCAGUCGUGGGGGAUGACGUAGCGAAAGUUACGCUAAUACCGCAUACGAACUAUGGAUGAAAGCGGGGGAUCGCAAGACCUCGCGCGAUUGGAGCGGCCGAUAUCAGAUUAGGUAGUUGGUGGGGUAAAGGCUCACCAAGCCGACGAUCUGUAGCUGGUCUGAGAGGACGACCAGCCUCACUGGGACUGAGACACGGCCCAGACUCCUACGGGAGGCAGCAGUGGGGAAUUUUGGACAAUGGGCGAAAGCCUGAUCCAGCCAUGCCGCGUGCAGGAUGAAGGCCUUCGGGUUGUAAACUGCUUUUGUACGGAACGAAAAGGUUUGGCCUAAUAAGCUGAGCUCAUGACGGUACCGUAAGAAUAAGCACCGGCUAACUACGUGCCAGCCGCCGCAGUAA
rnacentral:rRNA from 1 species